UACGUAGGGUGCGAGCGUUGUCCGGAUUUAUUGGGCGUAAAGAGCUCGUAGGCGGUUUGUCGCGUCGGCCGUGAAAUCUCCACGCUUAACGUGGAGCGUGCGGUCGAUACGGGCAGACUUGAGUUCGGUAGGGGAGACUGGAAUUCCUGGUGUAGCGGUGAAAUGCGCAGAUAUCAGGAGGAACACCGGUGGCGAAGGCGGGUCUCUGGGCAGUAACUGACGCUGAGGAACGAAAUCGUGGGGAGCAAACAGG
rnacentral:rRNA from 1 species